GCCGCAGUCGCAUAACCCGGUAUUGCGCAGGAUUGCUAAUCCUGUUUCCGCAAGGAUAUCCCGGUUCAAAUCCGGGCUGCGGCG
rnacentral:tRNA from 1 species